rnacentral:rRNA from 2 species
UACGGAGGGUGCGAGCAUUAAUCGGAUUUAUUGGGCGUAAAGGGCGCGUAGGCGGGUUAGUAAGUCAGAUGUGAAAGCCCGGGGCUCAACCCCGGAAUUGCAUUUGAAACUGCUAGUCUAGAGGGUAGGCGGAGAAAACAGAAUUCCACAAGUAGCGGUGAAAUGCGUAGAUAUGUGGAAGAAUACCGGUGGCGAAGGCGGUUUUCUAGCUUAUACCUGACGCUGAGGCGCGAAAGCAAGGGGAUCAAACAGG